rnacentral:rRNA from 1 species
UACGUAGGGCGCAAGCGUUGUCCGGAAUUAUUGGGCGUAAAGAGCUCGUAGGCGGUCUGUUACGUCCGCUGUGAAAACCCAGGGCUUAACCCUGGGCUUGCAGUGGAUACGGGCAGACUAGAGGCAGGUAGGGGAGAAUGGAAUUCCCGGUGUAGCGGUGAAAUGCGCAGAUAUCAGGAGGAACACCUGUGGCGAAAGCGGCGCACUGGACCACAACUGACGCUGAGGCGCGAAAGCUAGGGGAGCAAACAGG